GGACGAAAGGGGCCACAUGCUGACCUGACAGGCUCAGGGGAGGCCUGCAUGGCAGUCUUGCAAACUCGGAGACCUAAAGUAACCACAAAGGAUGGUCUGAAAUUAAACUUUAACUAAGAGCAGUUAUGGUGGGCAGUUACAUCCUGGGCCAGUAUCUUCACUGACAAGGUCAACCUUUACCUUAACUGAGCCUAUCUGUCUUUUUGCAUCUAUGAUAACAUACCCUUGAAAUAUCUGGGUAACUUGUGACUUCCCUUUAUCUGGAGCCCCUGGGGCACAACCAAAUGUGCUGGGCACCAAGGACAGAUACCACAAAUUCCUUCAUCAUCAUGUUAAUUGUUCCUGCACCCACCUAAGUAUGUGUCCAUCAUUUUACUUUUUAUCCAAUCCCAGGGGUUUCCCUGCUUUGCUUAUCCCUCCUCCUUAACCUAUCGCCAAUGAAUUUCAUGUAACCCACCUAUGUUCCUCCUUUGACUGAAAUGUAUAAAUACAAAUGUAACCCCGCCAUUCUGCGGAGCACUAUCUCAAUUCAUUGAGGUUCUGCUUCCCGGCAUAUGUCGACAGUUUGGCUCAAAUAAACUCACAAAAAUUCUUUACAGGUUUCAAUGGUUUUUUCAUGUUAACAUUAAUUGGCGUAGUCGGCAGGAUUCCAAAGAAGCUCACCCAGGACCAUCCCUUGGACUUUGACUCGGUGCUAGGAUCCAGCAAAGGGCCCAUUGAGCCCGCCGGUUCUCUGCCCAUUGGGUGAACGUGGUGCACUCCCGGGCGAUGAAGAUUUCAAAGAUCAUGGCUUAUAACCAGGAGAUUUGGUGUAUUGGAAAAGACACCAAAUAAAAGACUCUCUCCAACCUCGUUGGAGAGGACCUUACCAGGUAUUACUAACUAACCCAUGUGCAGCUAAACUUAAAGGAGUUAGCUCUGGAUUCACAUUUCUCAUUUAAAAGGGCACCUGACUGUGAAUGGACAUCUACUCCCAUCUCUGACACCCAUCUCCGUCUGCAGCGGAUAUCAAAGACUUUUCAAGGACAAGAAACAGCUGAGGCCUUUCCAGGAUGAGAAGUCGCUGACCACGGAGGCAGACAGCUAUCCCAAGAUGAUUUCAACAAGGCCUGUAUGCUCACAAACUGAUAUUGUUAGCCGUGGUGAUUCAAAGUUUUUAAUGGGGAAUGUUAUCUGUCUUUAUUGUUUAAAUAUGUGUCUUUGUUGUCUAAAAUUGUUUAGCUAGUGAAAUUUCUGUUUGUGUCUCUUAAAAAAUAUGAAUGUAUUGCUAAUCUGAGGAAUGUUAAUUAUUUACAUGUCACCUAAAAAAAUUAAGGCUGAGAGUUCUAACUAACUGGAAGUAUGGCUUUGGUGUGAUGGGAGGAAGAUAAAGAGAAAUACUUAAUGGAAGGUCUGAGGCAUGGUUAUGCAUUUUUGAAGGACAUAGGAAGAAGGUUUGAAGGCUAAUUUGAAAGUGUAAAAUUUGUGAAGGUUGUGUAUGUGAUGAGAAGGAAAAGAAA